UCGCUCUUUCCCAGCGUCUCUAUGGUAGAGCUGGCCUGUGAGGCGGUAGCGGCGGUGAGAAGAGGCUAGAAUCCGAGUUUCUCACGGGCCUGGAGGUUUGGGGUCGUAAGGGUCGCCAUGUCAGAGAAAAAGCAGCCGGUAGACUUGGGUCUCCUGGAGGAGGACGACGAGUUUGAGGAGUUCCCUGCCGAAGACUGGGCUGGUUUAGAUGAAGAUGAAGAUGCACAUGUCUGGGAGGAUAAUUGGGAUGAUGACAAUGUAGAAGAUGACUUUUCCAAUCAGUUACGAGCUGAACUAGAAAAGCAUGGUUAUAAGAUGGAGACCUCAUAACAUCCAGAAAUGUCGAAGCAAUCUAAACUUGACCUGUUUACUAAAUUCUAGAAUGGAACACUUUUAAAAAAACUUACAUGUUUAUUUCGUUACCUGUUUGAACUUAUUUUUGAUUUUGUAACAUAAAAAAUAAAUGUUUUGAUCUAAUCUUUGUUUACUGCAGAAUUCUUGCUCUUUUUGCCUUUAAUUAUUUUCUCCUUUUAUUCAUGAUUUUCUAGAACUUUUAUUAUGUAGAGCCAGUGAAAGUUUCUACUAUGACUUUAUUUUUUAAUGUUAACUAAGGUUCGGAGAGGUUAAAUAAUUUGAGGCUGGACCUCUGAUUCCCAAUUUAGUACUUUUCUUAUACUAUAUGUUUAAAUGUUCUGUUUAGAAGAUACCUCUUUAAAUCAGUUAGCUUAGUUUGAAAGUUUAGAAAGCAUUAAGGUAACCCUUUAAAGCCUGUGCUUUAAAAAUAUUAAUCAUGUUAAAUUGUUGUAAUUAGUUCAUGUAACAUUGGUUGAUAGAGUAUUAUUACUGCUUAAAGUCCAGAGUUGUUUGAUACAAUUCUGAGAAUAGGUCUUCUGUUAAAAUGAGGUAGUAGGCUUAAUUAUGUUUGUUAAUGUGCAUUCUGUGGUACUGAAUAACAACUGCAUCAAUUAAAUUUCUGCAAAGUGAUUACUGUGCCACCAUCUGCUUUUAUAAUUGGGAGAUUUAAUUUCAUUGAUAAAGAAUUCUUCCUGAUAAGACUAAUACUAAUGUUAGGAACAUUUUCAAACAUGAAUGUGUUACUCAUUUAGAACUAUAAUCACCAUGCUGGAGUAAAUUUAUAAAAUUUAUGUAACACAAUGUAGUGUAAAAACCAAGGUAGACGUGGGGCACCUGAAAUAAAAGUAAUGCCUUGAAAUGAUU